GCAGAGGUGCCAGAGCGGUUAUUGGGCUAGUCUCGAAAACUAGUGGCCUUGAGCCUCAAGGGUUCGAAUCCCUUCCUCUGCGCCA
rnacentral:tRNA from 1 species